rnacentral:lncRNA from 1 species
AAACCCAGAUGGAAUUAAUAAAACACAGGCUAACCGCCAUACAACCGCUUUGAGAUUCAGGUUCUACACUUCAACUUAAGCCCUGAUAAAAGAAAAACACCCUAACAGACUACUCAAGGAAGCAAUACAUAAUUUAAAAGCUUAUAUAUUCAGCCACUACGUUCCAGGGGAGAGCAUCGAUACGUAGAGCUCUUCACUUGACCAAAGCCUUCCACAUUCGGGCUGGAAGGGACAAGAGUCGCCACAUGAGGGGAGCACUAGCCUCAUGAUCUGCAUUGGAGGAGUCAUUGUUGAGAUCAUUAGUCUCCUCCUGAAGCAGUUCACCAUCGAAUAUCUCUCCCAUCCCAAAGUUGGCAGGAGGAUGAGCAUCAAACAAAAGGCCCAUAUCUCUGGCCAACAUGAACUGUUUCUCUCCAAAGGAACCUGGAGUUUCUGCAAAGAGACUCAUAUUAUCCAAACCAUAGCGGGCAAGGUACGCCGCUGUUCCAUUCUGCACUAUUGGAAUACGAGUAAUUUCUCGAACAGUGGUUCCAAUCUUGAAGUUGUUGGAGUGUAGAGUAUUAAAGAGGCGAAGGACUUCCUGCACAUUCUCCUGCGG